GAACAAUGCCGCGCAUAACCAAUUGAAAUAAUGGUGUUGGUAAAUGGUCAGUCUUCUGCGAAGUUACUGUUUGGACCAGAGUGUCGAGAACAUCAACGGAAUGAUGAAAACCCUUGCACUACUGGCUCUGCGCCACGAAUUGACACACGCUCUCGAAUUGACAAACGCCUAACAGAUCUAUCAAGACGUGACCGAGAAUCAUCCUAUAUAGAUCUACUUGGCAAUUCUCAUCAGCACAUGGCGCCAUUCAGUGUGGCAAACAUGUCACAAAAAAGUUAGAAAAAUUCGAUUACUGUUUAAUGACCACCGAUCUUGCCACCGAUACAUAGAGGUUGUCCUAUGUCUACAGCUGAUUAUGCUACUGUCCCUCGAUUGUCCCGAUAGUUUGACACGUUACAAAUCCUUCAAAUCCUAAGAUUAGUUUGACAAUAGCAGACAAAUACUUCGCACGUUGACCAAAAACUGAUUGCUGGAGUUCGAAAAUGCAGUUGCAAAGCUGAUCAAAUGCCUCUUCACCCCGCCGGUCUCUGGUUAUAGUUUCACCCAGCGAGAAAAUCAAAAAUACUUCAAGAAACCCAAAUCGAUAGCAAAAUGGCAACGCUAGAGAAGUCCAAAACAAAAUGCUAGCAUUGAAUGAAGCUUAAACGCAAACUAAAACCAUUAGUUCUGCCAUACAGUCGAUGUCCACGAUGAAGAGGAUUCGGUGAACCCGUGGUCGGUACCUAUUUUCGACGAUUUGAAAUUGAACGUGCGAACUUACCCAGGAAGCGCUGCAGUUCUUCAGCAAUCCACUGAGUUCAGCUCCAAUCUAAAGGAUUCUAUUAAGCAGUUGUACUCCUAGUGCGACCCAUCCACACAAUGCUCGUAACCCGAAUUAAAUCUAAAAUCUACGAGACUAAGCCUACACCCACUGCUCAGCUGUCUUCCGCCCAAUGCGCCCGUAAUACUGAAUCCUACGUUUGACCCGACUCAACUAGCCCAUUUAUAUCUGCAUUAUGUUCACAUUCCUCCGAAAAGUCAUCACCGACAAGCGGUUCUUAACGGACGCUCGUAGCAUGAUGGUAAAGUUGGCUGCCACCCAACUAAGCAUUACAACAAGGCACGAUCAUUUGUUGUAUGCUGUUACACGACCUGCGAUAGGACCCGGUAGGACGGGAGAAGGAAACGAAUUUCUUAAAAUGCUGAAACUGGACAUGAUCCGGGUGAACAUGAACGGAUCAUUCGUUCAGGAGAAGAAGUGGAUGAUUGUGGACAGCGAUGGGGAAGACAUCCUUCGAUUGUGGAAGAUCGGUACGUGGCAGUACUUGACAGGG